AUUGAACGCUAGCGGCAUGCCUUACACAUGCAAGUCGAACGGAGUGGCGAACGGGUGAGUAAUGUCUCGGAACGUGCCCAGUAGUGGGGGAUAACUACGCGAAAGCGUCGCUAAUACCGCAUACUAUCGGAGCGGCCGAUAUCGGAUUAGCUAGUUGGUGGGGUAACGGCUUACCAAGGCGACGAUCCGUAGCUGGUUUGAGAGGAUGACCAGCCACACUGGGACUGAGACACGGUCCAGACUCCUACGGGAGGCAGCAGUGGGGAAUAUUGGACAAUGGGCGAAACCCUGAUCCAGCCAUGCCGCGUGUGUGAAGAAGGCCUUCGGGUUGUAAAGCACUUUUGGCAGGAAAGCGGUACCUGCAGAAUAAGCACCGGCUAACUACGUGCCAGCAGCCGCGGUAAUAC
rnacentral:rRNA from 1 species